GACGAACGCUAGCGGCGUGCCUAAUACAUGCAAGUCGAACGCAGUGGGGACGGGUGAGUAACACGUGGGUAACCUCCCCAUCAGAGGGGAUAACACUUGGAAACAGGUACUAAACCGAUACUGGGGGAUGGCCCCGCGGUGCCUUAGCUAGUUAGUGAGGUAACGGCUCACCAAGGCAACGAGUCAUACGCAACCUGGGAGUGAGAGCGGCCACACUGGGAUUGAGACUCGGACCAGACUCCUACGGGAGGCAGCAGUAGGGAAUCUACGGCAAUGGACGAAAGUUUGACCAAGCAACGCCGCGUGAGUGAAGAAGGUUUUCGGAUCGUAAAACUCUGUUGUUAGAGAAGCUGUAUCUAACCAGAAAGCCACGGCUAACUACGUGCCAGCAGCCGCGGUAAUAC
rnacentral:rRNA from 1 species